rfam:Glossina fuscipes fuscipes unplaced genomic scaffold Scaffold200, whole genome shotgun sequence.
GUAGUUUUUAGUACGUAUGCGCCAGGGAUGGCGAAUCGUGCAUGCUAUUAGAAAGAACCAGCGAUAUCUCUUUAAGAUUUUCUACC